rnacentral:rRNA from 1 species
GAUGAACGCUAGCGACAGGCCUAACACAUGCAAGUCGAGGGGCAGCAUUUAAUAAGCUUGCUUAUUAAGAUGGCGACCGGCGCACGGGUGAGUAACACGUAUGUAAUCUGCCUGUAACAGGGGGAUAACCCGGAGAAAGUCGGACUAAUACCCCAUAAUCUCAAAAUGUUGCAUGAAAUUUUGAUUAAAGGAUUACCGGUUACAGAUGAGCAUGCGUAUCAUUAGCUAGUUGGUAGAGUAACGGCCUACCAAGGCAACGAUGAUUAGGGGGUCUGAGAGGAAGAUCCCCCACACUGGUACUGAGACACGGACCAGACUCCUACGGGAGGCAGCAGUGAGGAAUAUUGGUCAAUGGACGGAAGUCUGAACCAGCCAAGUCGCGUGAAGGAAGACGGCCCUUAGGGUCGUAAACUUCUUUUAUUUGAGAGUAAAAGAUCUUACGUGUAAGAUUUUGCAAGUAUCAAAAGAAUAAGCAUCGGCUAAUUCCGUGCCAGCAGCCGCGGUAAAAC